rnacentral:SRP_RNA from 1 species
CCGUGCUAGGUGGGGAGGUAGCGGUGCCCUGUACUCGCAAUCCGCUAUAGCGAGACUGAAUGCCUUGCUGAGGUGUCGUUACUUUAAGGUCUGCCUUAAGGGAGUAGUGUUGACACCCGGGUCCCACGCAACAGAAAUUCGUGAACCAUGUCAGGUCCGGAAGGAAGCAGCAUUAAGCGAAACUUUUUGUGUGCCGUGGGGGGGAAGCCUGGGUCGAGCUAUCAACUUAAGUAACGCUUAGGGUAGCGCCAUCGAAGCUUGGCGCACGG